UCAGCAUCACCGUCAUCAUCACCAACACCAAAGCGUUUCUCUUCUAGUACCGUAAGCCAGCGGGUGUAACGGUCAGCUGGAUUAACCGCAUCCUCGGUGUUGCUCCUUCAGACCGAGCGGCGAGGAUGUCGACGACCUCUACAGAAUACGGCCCUGAUGUCUUGCGGGGACGAGGGGCACCUCGACGUCGGCCACGCCGGAGCAGCGGCGCGACCGAUGAAGAGGAGGAGGAGGAGCGCGAGCGCGAGGAGGUCCCGUCUGCGCAGGUCCCGAGUGGCGUGGGUCGCGCGCUUCGCGACCUCCGCCUGCGUGUCUGGCCUGGUCGUCUUCGUGAUCCUCUCGGUCACGUGCACCGUGGGCGACGCCAGGGAGAAGGCAUGCGCCUGGAGAUGCGUCCACGAGCCCGACGACGACCCACGGCCAAACUUGACUAUCAAAACGCGAGAAGUUCGGGGCACGGAGGACAAGCCACAUUUUAUCGACUUUGGAACGGUGAACAACACGUGGAGUAGAUCGUAAAUAGACCGCUGAAUAGACCGCAAAUAAAGUAAAAUAAAGAUGCCGUCUGGUGGCAUCCUUUGCAGCGAGACAUA